GACGAACGCUGGCGGCGUGCUUAACACAUGCAAGUCGAACGGAAAGGCCCUGCUUUUGUGGGGUGCUCGAGUGGCGAACGGGUGAGUAACACGUGAGUAACCUGCCCUUGACUUUGGGAUAACUUCAGGAAACUGGGGCUAAUACCGGAUAGGAGCUCCUGCUGCAUGGUGGGGGUUGGAAAGUUUCGGCGGGUGGGGAUGGACUCGCGGCUUAUCAGCUUGUUGGUGGGGUAGUGGCUUACCAAGGCUUUGACGGGUAGCCGGCCUGAGAGGGUGACCGGCCACAUUGGGACUGAGAGACGGCCCAGACGCCUACGGGAGGCAGCAGUGGGGAAUAUUGCACAAUGGGCGGAAGCCUGAUGCAGCAACGCCGCGUGCGGGAUGACGGCCUUCGGGUUGUAAACCGCUUUCGCCUGUGACGAAGCGUGAGUGACGGUAAUGGGUGAAGAAGCACCGGCUAACUACGUG
rnacentral:rRNA from 1 species